CAUUACUGAGUUUACGCUCUAUAACCCUUUGUGAACAUACCUAUAACUGUUGCUUCGGCGGGUAGGGUCUCCGCGACCCUCCCGGCCUCCCGCCUCCGGGCGGGUCGGCGCCCGCCGGAGGAUAACCAAACUCUGAUUUAACGACGUUUCUUCUGAGUGGUACAAGCAAAUAAUCAAAACUUUUAACAACGGAUCUCUUGGUUCUGGCAUCGAUGAAGAACGCAGCGAAAUGCGAUAAGUAAUGUGAAUUGCAGAAUUCAGUGAAUCAUCGAAUCUUUGAACGCACAUUGCGCCCGCCAGCAUUCUGGCGGGCAUGCCUGUUCUAGCGUCAUUUCAACCCUCAAGCUCUGCUUGGUGUUGGGGCCCUACAGCUGAUGUAGGCCCUCAAAGGUAGUGGCGGACCCUCCCGGAGCCUCCUUUGCGUAGUAACUUUACCUCUCGCACUGGGAUCCGGAGGGACUCUUGCCGUAAAACCCCCCAAUUUUCCAAAGGUUGACCUCGGAUCAGGUAGGAAUACCCGCUGAACUUAAGCAUAUCAA
rnacentral:rRNA from 1 species